rnacentral:lncRNA from 1 species
AAAAACCUGAACGAUGACGAGGCAGCCUCUGGCUGAAACAGAUUAUCGCCUUAUCCAAGUGGCCGAUCAGAGGACCAUUGAUUCGCCCCCGUGGAGAAAUUUCAUUCGGCUGUUUAGCUUAUUGCAGAUUCCCGGUCGGAAUAUUAUCGCUUUUCUACGAGAUAAAUGGCAUAAAAAUUGGUUUUAAACAGCGGUUGACAUGCUUCGAAGUACGGUAAUGGAAUAUUUAGACAUUUUUUGUCACGCCAUGCGCCAUGCGCACGACCGUUAUUUACCAUUCGUAUAGUGUCUAGAACGCACGAACAAAACAGAGGAUAUUUGGAUAUAACGAUGGAUUAUUUGGGACCAAACCUACAUUUGUUAUUGAAGUAGAAGUCCUGGGAGUGCAUUCUGACGAAGAACAGGAAAGGUGGUCCACCUUCCCAGUGGCUGACAUGGUUGCUGUAUGGACAGUGGAGAGGACAUGGACGUCUCGUUUGUCAUGCCACUUUACUGCCAGCUUUUGACUGUUCUCCUUGAACUCCACCUCCCCUCUCUGCAUCUUCCUGCAUCCCCUUCUGUUUGACCUGACUGUGCCACAGGCCCCUGUGCUGUUGGAGAGCAGAUGCUGGAAGAGUGUGGGGCUGCUGUACCAAUUGUCCACAUACAAAUUGUGUCCCUUGCCGAGAUGAGGAGCCAGCAUGGUCAUGACCACGGACCCGGACACCCCAAGCCCCUCAUAAUGUUGGAUAUCAGUGGUGGACCCUGUGUAAACUAUAAUGUCCUGGACAAAUCCUGCCUUCACGUCGCACAUGACAAAGAACUUGACACCAAACCUGUGCCUUUUGGAGGGAAUAUAUUGAUGGAACGUCAGCCUACCUUUCCAUAACAUCAGGGACUCAUCAAUGCAUAGGUCCUUGUAUGGCACAAAGACCCGACCAAAUGCUGAUGUCAGGCUGCUCCUCUGUCAGAAACAACUUGAAGCACUCUGCCUCAGUUGGAAAUGGCAAGGGGUGUUGCACUCCAGACUGGAACUCAUCAAAGCAAACAGCAGGGCCAGGAGGGGUGAAAUGGCUGGCAGCCUUCCAGCUACCACAGAACUCCUGUACUUCAUCCACUGUCGGUCUGCCUCUAUCAUCACCUGCGUCUUCAAAGGGACCUGGGACUUCGUCAGUGGACAAGGGGUCCUCAGAUUCAGUGUUCUCAAUGGCUACAGGGUUGGGGGGCAGCUCCUCACUGCCACUGUCAGAAUUUGAUUCCUGACUUUCAUACUCAGAAUCAUUGUCAGAAUUUUAAAAAAAUCUCCAGAAUUUCCGCAUUUGUGAGUUGUCUCCUUCUGAAAGACAUUGCUAAUGCUACAGCUUAGCUCACUAGCUACAUGCAUAAACAACAACACUGAAUGGCUCAGAGUGGGAGUGAGAGGUUACGUGAUUGACUGCCGGCACACGCCACUUGUAUCAAUAAAUCACGAUCAGAAAAUGUUUUGUGUCGUAAUUAUUUAUAUAUUUACUGUUUAAUUCACGUUUCAAUUACUGGUGACAAAUCAUGCAUUCCGAUUCUUGCAUAGAUUGUAAUGGGCACAUAUUAUUUGUGUAAAAUACUUUUUUGAAGGUUGUACUGAUUAUGAUGAGCUAAGCUAAUUCCAGCUGUGUAUGGAGCCAUGUUUGUUGACAUACAAUGCAUUCUGGGUUUCACGUAAUCGUCUGUUGGACCAAAGAUGUUAUAACAAAAUGAGUUGAGUAAGGGUUCACUCAUUUUGAGGACUUCCGGAAAUGAAUGGUGG